GUGGGGAAUAUUGCACAAUGGGGGAAACCCUGAUGCAGCGACGCCGCGUGAAGGAAGAAGUAUCUCGGUAUGUAAACUUCUAUCAGCAGGGAAGAUAAUGACGGUACCUGACUAAGAAGCCCCGGCUAACUACGUGCCAGCAGCCGCGGUAAUACGUAGGGGGCAAGCGUUAUCCGGAUUUACUGGGUGUAAAGGGAGCGUAGACGGCGCAGCAAGUCUGAUGUGAAAGGCAGGGGCUUAACCCCUGGACUGCAUUGGAAACUGCUGUGCUUGAGUGCCGGAGGGGUAAGCGGAAUUCCUAGUGUAGCGGUGAAAUGCGUAGAUAUUAGGAGGAACACCAGUGGCGAAGGCGGCUUACUGGACGAUAACUGACGCUGAGGCUCGAAAGCGUGGGGAGCAAACAGGAUUAGAUACCCGAGUAGUCC
rnacentral:rRNA from 1 species